GAUGAACGCUGGCGGCGUGCUUAACACAUGCAAGUCGAACGGAAAGGCCCAAGCUUGCUUGGGUACUCGAGUGGCGAACGGGUGAGUAACACGUGGGUGAUCUGCCCUGCACUUCGGGAUAAGCCUGGGAAACUGGGUCUAAUACCGGAUAGGACCACAUUUUGGAUUGUGUGGUGGAAAGUUUUUCGGUGUGGGAUGAGCUGGCGGCCUAUCAGCUUGUUGGUGGGGUAAUGGCCUACCAAGGCGUCGACGGGUAGCCGGCCUGAGAGGGUGUACGGCCACAUUGGGACUGAGGUACGGCCCAGACUCCGACGGGAGGCAGAAGUGGGGAAUAUUGCACAAUGGGCGCAAGCCUGAUGCAGCGACGCCGCGUGGGGGAUGACGGCCUUCGGGUUGUAAACUACUUUCGCUAGGGACGAAGCGUUAUGUGACGGUACCUGGAGAAGAAGCACCGGCUAACUACGUG
rnacentral:rRNA from 1 species